GACGAACGCUGGCGGCGUGCUUAACACAUGCAAGUCGAACGGAAAGGCCCUGCUUUGGUGGGGUGCUCGAGUGGCGAACGGGUGAGUAACACGUGAGUAACCUGCCCUUGACUUUGGGAUAACUUCAGGAAACUGGGGCUAAUACCGGAUAGGAGCUCCUGCUGCAUGGUGGGGGUUGGAAAGUUUCGGCGGUUGGGGAUGGACUCGCGGCUUAUCAGCUUGUUGGUGGGGUAGUGGCUUACCAAGGCUUUGACGGGUAGCCUGCCUGAGAGGGUGACCGGCCACAUUGGGACUGAGAUGAGGCCCAGCCUCCUACGGGAGGCAGCAGUGGAGAAUAUUGCACAAUGGGCGGAAGCCUGAUGCAGCAACGCCGCGUGCGGGAUGACGGCCUUCGGGUUGUAAACCGCUGUCGCCUGUGACGAAGCGUGAGUGACGGUAAUGGGUAAAGAAGCACCGGCUAACUACGUG
rnacentral:rRNA from 1 species